AACGAACGCUGGCGGCAGGCCUAACACAUGCAAGACGAACGCUGUAGCAAUACAGAGUGGCAGACGGGUGAGUAACACGUGGGAAUCUUCCUAUCGGUACGGAAUAGCUCAGGGAAACUUGAGGUAAUACCGCAUACGCCCUUCGGGGGAAAGAGUUAUCGCCGAUAGAUGAGCCCGCGUCUGAUUAGCUAGUUGGUGAGGUAAUGGCUCACCAAGGCGACGAUCAGUAGCUGGUCUGAGCGGAUGACCAGCCACACUGGGACUGAGACACGGCCCAGACUCCUACGGGAGGCAGCAGUGGGGAAUAUUGGACAAUGGGCGCAAGCCUGAUCCAGCCAUGCCGCGUGAGUGACGAAGGUCUUCGGAUUGUAAAGCUCUUUUGCCAGGGACGAUAAUGACGGUACCUGGAGAAUAAGCCCCGGCUAACUUCGUGCCAGCAGCCGCCGUAA
rnacentral:rRNA from 1 species